rnacentral:rRNA from 1 species
ACGGCUCAGUAACACGUCAAUAAUCUGCCCUUAAGUCUAGGAAAACCUCGGGAAACUGAGGCUAAACCUGGAUAGAUAGGUAUAACUGGAAUGUUUUCUUAUUGAAAGGUAACGCUUAAGGAUGAGUUGGCGGCUGAUUAGGCUGUUGGUAGUGUAAAGGACUACCAAACCUUUGAUCAGUACGGGCCGUGAGAGCGGUAGCCCGGAGAAGGGUACUGAGAUACUGACCCUAGCCCUACGGGGUGCAGCAGGCGCGAAACCUUUACACUGUACGGAAGUGCGAUAAGGGAACUCCCAGUGCUCAUGCAUUGCAUGGGCUUUUGCUAAGUGUAAAUAGCUUGGCGAAUAAGUGGUGGGAAAGACUGGUGCCAGCCGCCGCGGUAACACCAGCGCCACGAGUGGCAAUCAUGUUUAUUGGGCCUAAAGCGUUCGUAGCCUGUCUGAUAAAUCUUUUGUGAAAUUGUUGAGCUCAACUUAACAGUGUGCAGAAGAGACUGUCAGACUUGGGACCAGGAGGGGUUGAAGGUAUUCUUGGGGGAGCGGUAAAAUGCUAUAAUCCCUUGAGGACCACCUGUGUGAAGACGUUCAACCAGAAUGGAUCCGACGGUGAGGAACGAAAGCUAGGGGAGCAAUCCGGAUUAGAUACCCGAGUAGUCCUAGCUGUAAACGCUGCGAGCUAGGUGUUGCACAUUCUUCGGGAAUGUGCAGUGUCGAAACGAAGGUGUUAAGCUCGCCGCCUGGGAAGUACGGUCGCAAGACUGAAACUUAAAGGAAUUGGCGGGGGAGCACA